rnacentral:rRNA from 1 species
UAGGGAAUCUUCCACAAUGGGCGCAAGCCUGAUGGAGCAACACCGCGUGAGUGAAGAAGGGUUUCGGCUCGUAAAGCUCUGUUGUUAAAGAAGAACACGUAUGAGAGUAACUGUUCAGGUAUUGACGGUAUUUAACCAGAAAGCCACGGCUAACUACGUGCCUG